CACGUAGGGCGCAAGCGUUGUCCGGAAUUAUUGGGCGUAAAGAGCUCGUAGGCGGUCUGUUGCGUCCGCUGUGAAAACUCGGGGCUUAACCCCGAGCCUGCAGUGGAUACGGGCAGACUAGAGGUAGGUAGGGGAGAAUGGAAUUCCUGGUGUAGCGGUGAAAUGCGCAGAUAUCAGGAAGAACACCCGUGGCGAAAGCGGCUCUCUGGGACGGUACUGACGCUGAGACGCGAAAGCGUGGGGAGCGAACAGG
rnacentral:rRNA from 1 species